GACGAGGAGGGUGCAAACGUUGUUCGGAAUUACUGGGCGUAAAGCGCGUGUAGGCGGCAGCGCAAGUCGGAUGUGAAUCCCAAUGGACUCAACCAUGGAAGUUGCAACCCGAAACUGCGUCGACUAGAGUCCUGGAGAGGAAGGUGGAAUGGCUUGGUGUAGAGGUGAAAUUCGUAGAUAUCAAGCAGGAACACCGGUGGC
rnacentral:rRNA from 1 species